GUUGCUCUGUCCUUGUUUCACCUUUACCUCAAAAAGGUCUUUUCACUCUUGUGCUCUCUUUCUCUCUCUCUCUCUCUCUCUCACUUGCAGUUUUGGCUUUGGCUGCAAGGUUGCAGGUGCAGCAGUCUCUGCAGCUCCAGUCCCAACAAAAGACCCUUCUCAGGUGACUGUCAAUAUCGCCAGUGUUUGACACGGUGACCUCCCCAUCCAGCUCACCUCUCCAUCUGGCACAUGCUGCAUGCUGCUGGGCUCCGGCCACCACGACACCUCAACCGUCAGCCUGAGGACGUGGACCAUGAUGACAUUGCAGCACUGGAGAGAAGAGCCUCGAGGAACCUGCACUGUCCAGCCAUUACUCAUCACUCUUUCAGCCACAGAACGGUAAUCUCUUUUCAAGGCUCAACCCCCUCAUCCCCGUGCCCCUUUUUCUACCCCCACCUUCUCUUUCUCUCCUUUUCAUUCCUGUGCUCUGGCCCGCUGCAGUCCUCAUGUGUUCAGUGUGGGAAUCAAUUCACAGCUCCUCGUGCUUAAUGGCAGAGGAGGGAUAAUCCCGUGCUGGGUCUGGUUUUACUGAUCCGCGGGUUCGGGGCUUGGGCUCGUACCCAAAACGGGCCGCCUCUGACCUCUGAAAUGUCUAUAAAGACGUGAUACACACACACACACACACACACACACAGAGAGAGAAAUGCAUGCAUUCCUUUCUGUGUCCUUAAGUUCUUAUUUUGGUCUAAACUAAAACAACAUACUUAAUAACUGCAAAAAAAAAUGUGAUAAAUUUUACAAUACUGCUUAUUCCCCAAUGAGCAGCAACACUCCCAGUCACAUGGAUCCAAGAACAGUAAUACUGGGGACAAGGCCAAACAGUGUGUGUGUGUGUGUGUGUGUGUGUGUGUGUGUGUGUAGGGAGGAGAUAAAUGGAAAUGGGGCCUUGUAAACAGUUGGCGGUUUAGAGGGUCUCAAAGCUGGAGAGAUGAAAGGGACACAUCCCACCCCCCAGCCCCCUCCUACAGAUUUACUGUCCCCUUUGUGACCAAUUACAGCGGCCCAGCGUGUCACAGGCAGAAUGCGCACACCACUCCGACACACCAGAGACACUCAUUAACAGAGUCAGAGACGCCGCGCGGUAACACUUUCACACGGCGAGCUGGAAAACACUGCGCCAAUGCUGAAGCCGUGGAUAAUGCGGGAUGCGCCGUCUUUAGCAGCGCUGCUCAGUAUACAGCCGUCAUUAGCGGCACGCCGAUCGGCGGGUGAUAUCCCCAUUAACACAAAGACCCUCUUCACCACAGAGUCGUUCGGCAGAGAAGAAGAUCUUACCUCAUUACUAAUGGCAAAUGAUCAACAGCUACCGUACUCAAAAACGAGGUGAAGCAAUUAGAGCCGAAUUGACUCAGAGACUGACUAGUCACACUUCACCAGUGGUAGGCAGGCUUUCACUCAAGGACAGCAAGGGGGCCGACCCCAGCAGGUGGAGAGGUUUUUUUUAUUGAUUUGUCAUGAUGACAAUUGUCAGAGAGUGAUGCAGCAAAAGAGCCAGGAUUGAAUUGGAGCAUCAAAAUAAGCAACAGGAGCCAACUGACGGUCCACCACGGCGAAGGAUACGGCUAGAGGAGAGUACAUGGGUGUGAAUCAGAACCAGAAUCCACCUUUCAGCGUCGGGUAUGAUAUCCACCUUGAGAACUAGUCUCGGUCCUGCAUUAACAUGAGCAUCAUAAGCACCAGGGGCAGUGGUGACCUAGCGGGUAUUGGAAGCCAAACCGUAAUCGUAAGGUUCAAAUCCUGACCCGCAAAGGUGCCACUGAGGUUCCACUGAGCCAAGUACCGUCCCCACACACUGCUCCCCGGGCACCUUGCAUGGCUGCCCACUGCUCACCAAGGGUGAUGGUUAAAUGCAGAGGACGCAUUUCGUUGUGCCACCGUGUGUUGUACUGGCUGUGCUUCACAAUGGCAAUCACUUCAAAGAUCAAAAUAAAUAAACACAUUAGAUGGAAAUAGGUAGUGGC
rnacentral:lncRNA from 1 species